rnacentral:misc_RNA from 1 species
UGAUUUAUUUUUUAAUGUUUAUAUUAUUUGAAUGUUUUAUUCAAAUAAUAUAAAAAAUAAUAUAUAUAUUGACAUGGAUUAAACAAAGAUAUAUAUUAUUCUAUGUUGUAUAAACAAAUUGGCAAAAUAGAGAUGGAAGAUAAAAAUAUGGUCAAAGUAAUAAGAGUCUAUGGUGRAUGCCUAGGAGCUUUAAGGCGAAGAAGGUCGUGGUAAGCUGCGAAAAGCUUGGGGG